rnacentral:rRNA from 1 species
AAUAGAUACCCCGGUAGUCCACGCCGUAAACGAUGAGUGCUAGGUGUCGGGGGGUUCUACCCUCGGUGCCGAAGGUAACCCAUUAAGCACUCCGCCUGGGGAGUACGGCCGCAAGGCUGAAACUCAAAGGAAUUGACGGGGGCCCGCACAAGCGGUGGAGCAUGUGGUUUAAUUCGAAGCAACGCGAAGAACCUUAUCAGGGCUUGACAUCCCGCUGACCGCUUCAGAGAUGGAGCUUCCCUUCGGGGCAGCGGUGACAGGUGGUGCAUGGUUGUCGUCAGCUCGUGUCGUGAGAUGUUGGGUUCAGUCCCGCAACGAGCGCAACCCUUAUCGCUAGUUGCCAGCAUUCAGUUGGGCACUCUAGCGAGACAGCCGGUGAAAGCCGGAGGAAGGUGGGGAUGACGUCAAAUCAUCAUGCCCCUUAUGUCCUGGGCUACACACGUGCUACAAUGGCCGGUACAAUGGGUCGCCAACCCGCGAGGGGGAGCGUAAUCCCACAAAACCGGGUCUCAGUUCGGAUCGCAGG